UUCAGGCCCCAUGGGCCUCUUGUUCUUUCCCCUCCUCUUGGGACUUAGUUCUUUUGUUAUAUCUUUGAAACCAUUGAGAUCCCCACCCUAUAACCAUAUAUAGCAUUGUUGGGCAUGAAGAGAUAAACAAAUUCAUGUUGUAAAAAUUGGCCCUAGGGUCUUUCCCAACCCCUAGGGACUUGGAUUCUCUGUUAUAUCUUUGAAACCAUUGACAUCCUCACCCCAUAAACAUAUACUGCAUUUUAAGACAUCAACAAAUAGAGCUGUUAACAAAUUGAACAUGAACAUUAUUUUGAAGAUCAAAUCAACCAGGUGAGCGAUACAGGCCCUCUGGGCCUCUUGUUUAAUUUCAGUGGCAUGUUUUAAUAAACAGGUAUUAAACUCAAUUAUUUGUACUGAUAAAGCUCAUUUUUGAAUGAUUUCAUAAAAUAUAACAUACAAAUGUAACUGCAACUGUUAACAUAUGGAAUACUAUACUAUAUUUAAGCAUGAAUUAUGUUUAAAACUCUAGUUACUGUUAAAGUAUUGCAUCUGCUCUAUUGAUAAAGGAAAUUGCUGAGGUGCCACAGGACCCACCAAAGGAGAGGGAAGAAGACGGCGGAGAGGAUAAAAAUAGGGAGGCAGCACCUAAUGAUACGACAGAUGAUUCAGAGGGCCAGUGGGAAAGCGCAUUAGAGGAAGAAAAGGAAGAGGAUUCGGAAAUGGCCGAGGAGCCACAGGACCCUCAAGAGGAGAAGGAAGAAGACGGACAGGAUGAUGCUCCUGAAUUUUUAGCACAGGUAUCAAAAUAUAGAUGAUAAAUCAGUGGAGGAUGAGGAGAUGGAGAAUGAUCUACAUGGGAUAGACAAUGUGGAGAUGAGUGAACAGGCCCAGAGUCGGGCCGGGGAGAGUCAGAACGACCAGGAACAGAUAAAAACAACAAACAACCAGUGAAAACAACAACCCACAGGCAGCACCAAAAGAUCAUACGUAUGAUAUCGAUUCAGCUGAUGAAUGGGAGAGUGCUAUUGAGGCAAACACAGAAAAGGAUGAGUCGGUCUACCACGUCUGCAAUUAAUGGAGUCCAUGGCAAGGGCAACUUCAUUAAAAUGUCUCCAUUCUAAAUUUAAAGAAUUGUGUCUUGUCUGUCUUGUCUUUUGUUGUUAUUAAAUCGUUUCAAAUAUAUAAAUUUAUUUUU